GGAGGGGGCGAGCGUUGUUCGGAAUUACUGGGCGUAAAGGGCGCGUAGGCGGCCGGUGAAGUGUUUCGUGAAAGCCCUCGGCUUAACCGGGGAAGGGCGCGGCAAACUCACCGGCUAGAGUUCUGGAGGGGGAUGCGGAAUUCCUGGUGGAGCGGUGAAAUGCGUAGAGAUCAGGAAGAACGUCGGUGGCGAAGGCGGCAUCCUGGACAGAAACUGACGCUGAGGCGCGAGAGCGUGGGGAGCGAACGGGAUUAGAUACCCCGGUAGUCCACGCCGUAAACGAUGGGCACUAGGUGUGGGGGUCGUGAUGAUGUCCCGUGCCGGAGCUAACGCAGUAAGUGCCCCCGCCUGGGGAGUACGGUCGCAAGGCUG
rnacentral:rRNA from 1 species